rnacentral:tRNA from 1 species
GGGGGUAUAGCGCAGUUGGUAGCGCGCAUGCUUUGCAUGCAUGAGGUCCAGGGUUCGAUUCCCUGUGUCUCCA